AACUUUCGACAAUAGAUCUCUUGGUUCUCGCAUCGAUGAAGAACGCAGCGAAUUGCGAUAUGUAAUGUGAAUUGCAGAAUUCAGUGAAUCAUCGAAUCUUUGAACGCACCUUGCGCCCUUUGGUAUUCCGAAGGGCAUGCCUGUUUGAGUGUCAUUAAAUUCUCAACUUUGAAUCAUUUUUGUUUCAAAGCUUGGACUGUGGAGGCUUUGCCGGCAAUAUGUCAGCUCCUCUCAAAUGCAUUAGCAGAACCUUUGUUUAAAGGACUGGCUUCAGUUUGGUAAUCCUUAUCUAUGCUGUUGCUGUUGAUCUUUGUAUGUUCUGCUUCUAAUGGUCCCUUUGGACUGUCUCUAUGAGGCAUACACUUUUUAAGCUUGACCUCAAAUCAGGUAGGACUACCCACUGAACUUAAGCAUAUCAAUAAGCGGAGGCU
rnacentral:misc_RNA from 1 species